rnacentral:rRNA from 1 species
UGCAGUCGAACGAUGAAGCCCAGCUUGCUGGGUGGAUUAGUGGCGAACGGGUGAGUAACACGUGAGUAACCUGCCCUUAACUCUGGGAUAAGCCUGGGAAACUGGGUCUAAUACCGGAUAGGAGCGUCCACCGCAUGGUGGGUGUUGGAAAGAUUUAUCGGUUUUGGAUGGACUCGCGGCCUAUCAGCUUGUUGGUGAGGUAAUGGCUCACCAAGGCGACGACGGGUAGCCGGCCUGAGAGGGUGACCGGCCACACUGGGACUGAGACACGGCCCAGACUCCUACGGGAGGCAGCAGUGGGGAAUAUUGCACAAUGGGCGCAAGCCUGAUGCAGCGACGCCGCGUGAGGGAUGACGGCCUUCGGGUUGUAAACCUCUUUCAGUAGGGAAGAAGCGAAAGUGACGGUACCUGCAGAAGAAGCACCGGCUAACUACGUGCCAGCAGCCGCGGUAAUACGUAGGGUGCGAGCGUUAUCCGGAAUUAUUGGGCGUAAAGAGCUCGUAGGCGGUUUGCCGCGUCUGUCGUGAAAGUCCGGGGCUUAACCCCGGAUCUGCGGUGGGUACGGGCAGACUAGAGUGCAGUAGGGGAGACUGGAAUUCCUGGUGUAGCGGUGGAAUGCGCAGAUAUCAGGAGGAACACCGAUGGCGAAGGCAGGUCUCUGGGCUGUAACUGACGCUGAGGAGCGAAAGCAUGGGGAGCGAACAGGAUUAGAUACCCUGGUAGUCCAUGCCGUAAACGUUGGGCACUAGGUGUGGGGACCAUUCCACGGUUUCCGCGCCGCAGCUAACGCAUUAAGUGCCCCGCCUGGGGAGUACGGCCGCAAGGCUAAAACUCAAAGGAAUUGACGGGGGCCCGCACAAGCGGCGGAGCAUGCGGAUUAAUUCGAUGCAACGCGAAGAACCUUACCAAGGCUUGACAUGUUCUCGAUCGCCGUAGAGAUACGGUUUCCCCUUUGGGGCGGGUUCACAGGUGGUGCAUGGUUGUCGUCAGCUCGUGUCGUGAGAUGUUGGGGUUAAGU